CCGCAUGAACUCACUGUCAAGGAUAGAUAAAUAGAUAUUCAAUAAGACUUCUGAAAAAAUGCCCACCGGAGGAAUGCCCAACCGACCAUAGGUAGAGGGCAGCGAAAACGGAAGUUCAAUUCAACAGGAAAAGAGAGGGAUUGAAGGACCUCCUCAAGCGAACUUAUGUGUCCUCGCUAGCAGCCCGAACUUUUCUUUAUUCACAGGGCUCAAUCGACUGAUAAAAGAGGUCUUUCAUUAACUUUUGAUUAAGCUCAGUAUUUCCUCCUAGAUAAUGUAUCUGUGCGUCAAAGAAGAGUAGCCCGCCCAGUAAAUAAGGGCACUUGCAUUUUGUCUUCAAAUCAAUAGACUAUCUAGAUUCACUUUCCGCUGAUCUUUAUGUAGAGGAAAGGCUUACUUAUCGAGCUUCCUACCACUGCUUUGAUCACUGACGGGACGGAAUUUACGAUUCGACUUGAUCCACUAAGCCCGGGGGAUUUUAUGGCUCACCAAAGUUUUUCUUCGUAACCAGACGGAGAUUUCAUUCCACUUUAUGUGGGGCAUACUUUUUCUUUGACUUCCUAGUGGGACUGCACGCAAGACUCUCUUUUUUUUUUAGAUGAAAGACCUUCUUCUUGACCGCCUGGCCUCAUUUAUCGAUCGAGGAAAGAUGAGAUCUUGAGCAUAACUACUCCCGUUUUCCUUCGUGGUGGGGCUUCGACAACUCAACUAUCUUCUAAAAGCCUUAUUUAUUGAGUACUGUCCCCUCACAGCUCAGCCCAUUACCCUUUAUUCCUGGCUCAGGCUAGUUUGCUGCUCAAGGAAACUCGAGAUGAUUUUUGGAACCUCUUUUUCUCCCUCAGAUAACAAGGAGGAGGAUGAUUGGCUUCGCAACUCUUCCUUUCCUUUGGAUGAUUGGCUAUGCAACUAUCCCUUCUUUCACCUGAUUCAGGUCUUUCAAUACCCGAAACAGCAAAUGCGGAAGCGCAGCCAAGUACUGAAAUAGGAGUUGGUUCACUUGCCCUUGAUUGAGCCGAUCAGUCCUUGUUGACCUUUUGAGGUGAAGGGGGAAGACCCAUAGCGCUUUCUUCAGUACUCGUGGGAGAAAGGGCUCUCUUAGGGAAGAAGGGUUCUCGCUUUGGGGGUAGAACUCUCAGCGGGAUAUAAAAUAGGAUUUCCAGCAGUGCUCUAGAGAAGAGGGGUUCCCUGCCUUAGGGAAAGAAAGGUUGCGGGCUAACAAAGACAGUGAGGCUUCGCUAACUAUCGAACCUACAGGCCCCUAACUCGCUACGUCCUCGAGGAGUAGUCCGUCCUCCUUUGACGAGGUGCACUCCCUACGUCCUUUCGAUCUCCGCUUCUUGCUUCCAUAGGCCCCUAUUGACUAACGAAUAGAAGUUCGUCUUGCUUUCCCUGAUCGAAUAAACAUAGUAUUUGCUCCUCCUUUUUAGUUGAUAUGGGACCCUGAACUUCUCCCGAUGGACGGCACUUCGGGAGCCCUCAUUCAUUGUGGAUGCUAGGAGGUGUGAACGGUUGAAAAAGCCGACCUGUGUACACAGCCUGAACCAGAACUCGAUCCUUGGAUUUAUGAUCUGACACUAUAGGCAUGCUCACCAUACUUUCCAGAGCGUGUGAGGAAGAUGAAGGAAGUAAUGCUAGGCGUGCAGACGACGACUACUCACUUCUCUUGUGAAGUCUUGAAUUCUGAUCAGACUGAAGAAGAUAGGGCAUGAACUAUUCGAUCAAUUAGGCAAGUUCCCGAGCUCGCCCUACCCUAAGAAAGAAGAAUGUGAGGACGGAACCGAGACAUAGUCUUUUGAAGCCUGGCACCACGGUUGAAGGUUGACAUCACGGUGAACAGCAAAUUAGCAUUGUGUCCACUCCACUUGAUUCAGUUCAACUGAAAAACCUUUACGGGUACAUAGAAAACGGAAAGCAAGAUUUUUCAGGCAGAGCGAGGGUCCCUAUUCUCUUCUCUCUUCAUUUCAAACCGCUUUACCCAAGUCAAUCUGAUAUUGGCGCUUAGAUGGGAAGAACCAGAUGAUGGAAACCAUCUUUCGCUAGCAAGCAGACGAAUGGCUCGGCAAUGAACGGGCUUGAGUUGACUCGAUGAGAUACUGCACUGAGCUAGCGAUCUUUCGUAAACCGAAAGAAAGACGAGCGGACAACCGCCCUUUUCGUCAUAAGGGGAAUCAACUGAUUCAGAAACAGAUAAGUCAUAGGAGCUAAUGAUGAGAGCAGACCGAAAGAAAGAAAGACGAACACAGAGCUCAGAAGCUCACUUCCCAGCCGGUUAGGUCAAGGGAAAGCGCAUCCAGAAACCAAUAACUAAUAGACGUCGACUCACGCCGCGAUCGGGUCGAAGGAAAGAACAGUGGUCAGCGGAGGAACCUUAUGCCACUGCAUCCUGGCAAAGAUAGGGCUGUUUCAGAGAUCGAGGCUAUGAAA
rnacentral:lncRNA from 1 species